rnacentral:rRNA from 3 species
UUAAUGACUCUCAGCAACGGAUAUCUCGGCUCUCGCAUCGAUGAAGAACGUAGCGAAAUGCGAUACUUGGUGUGAAUUGCAGAAUCCCGUGAACCAUCGAGUUUUUGAACGCAAGUUGCGCCCGAAGCCAUCUGGUUGAGGGCACGUCUGCCUGGGCGUCACGU